GUUUGCCUUUUCCCAAGAAGCCACCUACGGUUCACUGGAGGGAAAGGAGCCCCAAAAGACAGUAGGGAAUGACUGGGCUGUGCUUGAGUGGGGUCGAGCCCUGGGGUGUUUUGCCUCCUAAGACUGAUCCCUUCAAAGUCGCCACUCCCCCGAAGUCCCUCAAACAUUGUACUCAAGAACAAUGGUGGGGAGAUGGUGGGCCCCCUCACCUGUUCCCUCUUUGAAGCAGGGCUCCACCCAGGACUCGGCCAUCAAGGACUUCGUGCUGAAGUACGCCCUGCCCCUGGUUGGCCACCGCAAGGCGUCAAACGAUGCUAAGCGCUACACCAGGCGCCCCCUGGUGGUCGUCUACUACAGUGUGGACUUCAGCUUUGAUUACAGAGCUGCAACUCAGUUUUGGCGGAGCAAAGUCCUAGAGGUGGCCAAGGACUUCCCUGAGUACACCUUUGCCAUUGCGGACGAGGAGGACUAUGCUGGGGAGGUGAAGGACCUGGGGCUCAGCGAGAGUGGGGAGGAUGUCAAUGCCGCCAUCCUGGACGAGAGUGGGAAGAAGUUCGCCAUGGAGCCAGAGGAGUUUGACUCCGACACCCUCCGCGAGUUUGUCACUGCUUUCAAAAAAGGAAAACUGAAG
rnacentral:sRNA from 1 species